rnacentral:rRNA from 1 species
GACGUGGGGCGCGAGCGUUGUCCGGAAUUACUGGGCGUAAAGAGCUCGUAGGUGGUUUGUCGCGUUGUUCGUGAAAACUCACAGCUUAACUGUGGGCGUGCGGGCGAUACGGGCAGACUAGAGGUAGGCAGGGGGAGAGCGGAACUCCUGGUGUAGCGGUGGAAUGCGCAGAUAUCAGGAAGAACACCGGUGGCGAAGGCGGCUCUCUGGGGCCCUACCGACGCUGAGGGAGCGAAAAGCGUGGGGUAGCGAAC